CAGUAGCCCGGGAAUACAGAGGGUGCGAGCGUUAAUCGGAUUUACUGGGCGUAAAGCGUGCGUAGGCGGCUUCUUAAGUCGGAUGUGAAAUCCCUGAGCUUAACUUAGGAAUUGCAUUCGAUACUGGGAAGCUAGAGUAUGGGAGAGGAUGGUAGAAUUCCAGGUGUAGCGGUGAAAUGCGUAGAGAUCUGGAGGAAUACCGAUGGCGAAGGCAGCCAUCUGGCCUAAUACUGACGCUGAGGUACGAAAGCAUGGGGAGCAAACAGGAUUAGAUACCCCCGUAGUCCCUGUCUCUUAUACA
rnacentral:rRNA from 1 species